rnacentral:rRNA from 1 species
AUUGAACGCUGGCGGAAUGCUUUACACAUGCAAGUCGAACGGCGGCACGGGGGCAGCCCUGGUGGCGAGUGGCGAACGGGUGAGUAAUACAUCGGAACGUGCCCGGUCGUGGGGGAUAACGUAGCGAAAGUUACGCUAAUACCGCAUACGAUCUGAGGAUGAAAGCGGGGGACCUUCGGGCCUCGCGCGAUCGGAGCGGCCGAUGUCAGAGUAGGUAGUUGGUGGGGUAAAGGCCUACCAAGCCGACGAUCUGUAGCUGGUCUGAGAGGACGACCAGCCACACUGGGACUGAGACACGGCCCAGACUCCUACGGGAGGCAGCAGUGGGGAAUUUUGGACAAAGGGCGCAAGCCUGAUCCAGCCAUUCCGCGUGCAGGACGAAGGCCUUCGGGUUGUAAACUGCUUUUGUACGGAACGAAAAGGCUCUGGCUAAUACCUGGGGCUCAUGACGGUACCGUAAGAAUAAGCACCGGCUAACUACGUG